rnacentral:misc_RNA from 1 species
GAUGAAGAACGCAGCGAAAUGCGAUAAGUAAUGUGAAUUGCAGAAUUCAGUGAAUCAUCGAAUCUUUGAACGCACAUUGCGCCCGCCAGUAUUCUGGCGGGCAUGCCUGUUCGAGCGUCAUUUCAACCCUCAAGACCCCUUCGGGGGACUUGGUGUUGGGGACCGGCACAGGGCCUGCUUGCUUGUCUCGCAGCGCCUCGCCGCCUCCGAAAUGAAUUGGCGGCCUCGUCGCGGCCUCCUCUGCGUAGUAGCACAACCUCGCAACGGGAGCGUGACGCGGCCACUGCCGUAAAACAACCCAAUUUUAUUAGAGUUGACCUCGAAUCAGGUAGGAAUACCCGCUGAACUUAAGCAUAUCAAUAAGCGGAGGA